UGAGGGGUGGGACCUGGCCGAAUCCCCUUGCGGCUUGCCUGAGGGCUUCCUUUGUUCCCGCUGAGCGGAAGUCAGCGCUGCCAACGGAGGCGCGGCGAAGGUGUUAAGCGGUGCUGGCUUUCUUUGCGCUAGGCAUAUACGACUGACAGCCUCUUCAUCUGAUCCUGAAAUGCAAACAGAGAUGUCGAAAGCUGUGAUACCAGAUGCAGAGCUGCGGUUCACCCAGCUGUGAGUUUGCAGUCCACGGGAAGUUGGUGACUAGGAGGGACAACAGCAGGCUGGCACCAUAAAAGGAGGCACUGAAACUGCUGAAGCCUUCUCAGGGGCCCUGAUGAGGCAAGGCAGGAACUGGAAUCGGGCCCCCUCACCCCUAACCACAGAAUCCAGUGUUCUGCUGCUAGGUCUGCAGAAGAGCUAAGCCAACUAACCCCUGAGUAAUAGAGCUCAGGAGGGGACAGUCACCUAAAAUGGAAGCUCGCUGGCAGAACAGGAACAAACCAGUCUGCACUAAGAUAGAUGCCAACGCUGACCUUUCACCGACUUUGUCCGCCAUUACAAUACUAAAAAUCAUGCCCAGGAGUGGAGAUUUCACAGGCUAAUUAGACGUGCGAGGCAAGAAGCAGCAUGACCUUUAAGUGGAAAAAACAAACAAUCCUUGCUCCUACAUGUUUAGACAUUACCCUUUUCCCACCUAAGUCUCUAUCAGGCUCUCUGGGAGACUUCUCCUCUGGGAGCCAGCCUAAAGACUCUCCUUUGUGUUGUCUCUCCUGUGCUGGAGCACAAGCCCCAGUAAAGGCUUGUCUGGAACUCUC